rnacentral:tRNA from 1 species
GGUCCCGUAGCUCAGCUGGAUAGAGCACAAGUUUCCUAAACUUGGGGUCGCCGGUUCGAUUCCGUCCGGGAUCA